rnacentral:rRNA from 1 species
AUUGAACGCUGGCGGCAGGCUUAACACAUGCAAGUCGAGCGGGGGAAGGUAGCUUGCUACCGGACCUAGCGGCGGACGGGUGAGUAAUGCUUAGGAAUCUGCCUAUUAGUGGGGGACAACAUCUCGAAAGGGAUGCUAAUACCGCAUACGUCGUACGGGAGAAAGCAGGGGAUCUUAGGACCUUGCGCUAAUAGAUGAGCCUAAGUCGGAUUAGCUAGUUGGUGGGGUAAAGGCCUACCAAGGCGACGAUCUGUAGCGGGUCGGAGAGGAUGAUCCGCCACACUGGGACUGAGACACGGCCCAGACUCCUACGGGAGGCAGCAGUGGGGAAUAUUGGACAAUGGGGGGAACCCUGAUCCAGCCAUGCCGCGUGUGUGAAGAAGGCCUUAUGGUUGUAAAGCACUUUAAGCGAGGAGGAGGCUACUUUAGUUAAUACCUAGAGAUAGUGGACGUUACUCGCAGAAUAAGCACCGGCUAACUCUGUGCCAGCCGCCGCGGUAA